GGCCCGGUGGUCUAGCGGUCAGGACGUCUGCCUUUCACGCAGAAGAUCACGGGUUCGAACCCCGUCCGGGUCACCA
rnacentral:tRNA from 2 species